UGGCGGCGAUAGCGCGGUGGUCCCACCUGACCCCAUGCCGAACUCAGAAGUGAAACGCCGUAGCGCCGAUGGUAGUGUGGGGUCUCCCCAUGCGAGAGUAGGGAACUGCCAG
rnacentral:rRNA from 3 species